GGGGGGGCGGGGUGGGGGGGGGUGAAGGGGGUGACGAGAGUUGUGGCUAUUGGGUGAUCAAUAUUGGUCAGGCCACAAGAAUGCACCCAUUGCAAAUGAUCUCUUCUCUUCAAGGGUGCCCUUGAAGUUUAGACCAUAUUCCCUAAGUAGCAAAUCCAACCUCCACUCCUCCAUCUUCUCAUAAUCGGCCUUGGAGUAUCGAGGGUAAUGAAGAGGCAUUUGGAACCCUCCUGAUGAAGAGAUUGGCUUUGAGCUUUUGAUGACUCUAUUGACUUGUUCGCUGGGGUACCCUACAAUAUGGCUGCCUUGCUGCAUGUUCGUGCUGUCUUUGUUAGGGUACCCUACAACAUGGCAAGCCGAGUGAAGAAGCCACCUCAAAGCCAUCAUUAUUUCUCUCCCUGUAUUUAGGGAUGGAGAGAGAUAUUUCUG
rnacentral:misc_RNA from 1 species